rnacentral:rRNA from 1 species
AUUGAACGCUGGCGGCAGGCCUAACACAUGCAAGUCGAACGGUAACAGGAAGCAGCUUGCUGCUUCGCUGACGAGUGGCGGACGGGUGAGUAAUGUCUGGGAAGCUGCCUGAUGGAGGGGGAUAACUACUGGAAACGGUAGCUAAUACCGCAUAAUGUCGCAAGACCAAAGAGGGGGACCUUCGGGCCUCUUGCCAUCGGAUGUGCCCAGAUGGGAUUAGCUUGUUGGUGGGGUAACGGCUCACCAAGGCGACGAUCCCUAGCUGGUCUGAGAGGAUGACCAGCCACACUGGAACUGGGACACGGUCCAGACUCCUACGGGAGGCAGCAGUGGGGAAUAUUGCACAAUGGGCGCAAGCCUGAUGCAGCCAUGCCGCGUGUAUGAAGAAGGCCUUCGGGUUGUAAAGUACUUUCAGCGGGGAGGAAGGGAGUAAAGUUAAUACCUUUGCUCAUUGACGUUACCCGCAGAAGAAGCACCGGCUAACUCCGUG